UAUACAUGCAAGUCGAACGGAUCAGAGGACUUCGGUUCUCUGGUUAGUGGCGCACGGGUGCGUAACGCGUAUGCAACCUACCUUCCACUGGGGGAUAGCCCGGGGAAACCCGGAUUAAUACCGCAUGUGACCACUGAGAGGGCAUCCGAUCGUGGUAAAAGCUGAGGCGGUGGAAGAUGGGCAUGCGUGCCAUUAGCUAGUUGGCGGGGUAACGGCCCACCAAGGCUACGAUGGCUAGGGGUUCUGAGAGGAUGGUCCCCCACACUGGUACUGAGACACGGACCAGACUCCUACGGGAGGCAGCAGUAGGGAAUAUUGGGCAAUGGCCGAGAGGCUGACCCAGCCAUGCCGCGUGCAGGAAGAAGGCCUUCUGGGUUGUAAACUGCUUUUAUCUGGGAAGAAAACGCCCCUGCGGGGGUAACUGACGGUACCAGAUGAAUAAGCACCGGCUAACUCCGUGCCAGCAGCCGCGGUAAUACGGAGGGUGCAAGCGUUGUCCGGAUUUAUUGGGUUUAAAGGGUGCGUAGGCGGCCCGUUAAGUCAGCGGUGAAAUCCCACGGCUCAACCGUGGAACUGCCGUUGAUACUGGCGGGCUUGAGUUCGGUCGAGGCGGGCGGAACUGGUGGUGUAGCGGUGAAAUGCUUAGAUACCACCAAGAACCCCGAUUGCGUAGCAGCUCGCUGGGCCGAAACUGACGCUGAGGCACGAAAGCGUGGGGAGCGAACAGGAUUAGAUACCCUGGUAGUCACGCCGUAAACGAUGAUGACUCGAUGUUGGCGAUACACUGUCAGCGUCCAAGCGAAAGCGUUAAGUCAUCCACCUGGGGAGUACGCCCGCAAGGUGAAACUCAA
rnacentral:rRNA from 1 species